AAGAGAGAGAAAGUUAUUCAAACCUAAUCUCUUUUCAUUUUUCCCCCGCCUCUCAAGUCUCACCCUCUCACUUUUUAUUUGUCCCUGAUACUUUGUUCUUCUCCUUCCGAUUUUUUUCUCUUCGAAAUCAUCGAAAUCUCCUGAAAUCAAACUCAAUCUGUCCAAAUCAAAAGAAUUAUUACUUGAAAUCAAACCCAAAUCGUGAAAUCUGUUGAACUUAGUCUGAUUUGUGAGAUGGGUUCUUAUAAGAUUGAGCUUAAGCAAUUUUAUUUUAUCUUUUUUCUGUUCUCAGAUAGGGUUUAAACUCAAUCUGAUUUAUGAGAUCUCUUGAACUCAUCUCAUAAUCAAAACCCAUAUUUCAGAAGGAAAAUUCAAUUUUCGGUAACUCGUUUUAAACCUAGGGUUUUAAACCUAAUCUCUAUAUUUUUAUGAAUUUUACUUUUUAGUUUUGAGUUUGCUUUAUGUACAUCUCCACAUAUGCUUCUAUUAAUUUGAUAGGGUUUAAUUUUGUUUGCUUUUAAUUUUGUAUGGUAUUUAUAAGUAGCCGAAAGUCAUUUAGGCUUAAGAUUUACGGGGCUCUUUUACGUUUGGGUGCUGUUUUGAUUUCUCCUAAUUGAAUUUAAUCUCAUAGAUCUUGAGUUAAUCUGGAUUUUCUGGUUUCUCUGGUAGAUCCAUGAAGUUUCACUGCUAAUUAAUUCUGAUUUGAUGAACCAAUAAAGGAACGACCUAGCUGUCAAUCCCUCAGCCUUUAAUCCGUUAUCUGUUUAUAUGACGUAUUUGACUUCAUUGCAGAAGAACUAGCAUUAACUCUUUAGUACUUACUUUGCUUUGCAACUACAUUGGCAUGCGAAAUGAAUCCAGGUCACUGGCUCGGUGGUGGUGUAGGUAAAGGAAGGAUGGUGCUUCGAGAUCGUCCUGGAGUGGAAUAGGUCCUGCUGGGCAUUCAGCUAGUGUAAAUUGUUGAUUCAUAGUCGAUAAUUAUGAAGCAGAAGAAACUGGCUUAUGCAUCUGUAAUUAGGGCACUUGAUUUUGCAAUGACAAAGUAUUUACCUACUUGUGAGCGAUUUGUGGAUGUUAUGGGGUUGAAGACUGCAUUCGCUGCUUUCAUGGGGAUCACAAUGCCAAUAUCUAAAGGGGGAUUAGUGCAGACCAGGGGACAGAUGAUUCCCUGUGCCAUUCUCUGCCGGAUAGAUGUACAAGUGUAAAACAGAAAUGACAACAAAUGGCGACUUAUGCUUAUGUUUGUCGUUGGUCUGUACUGCGUAAAUAUUCGUCGAUGUAAAGAGCUGCAGCUGGAAUAAUCUACGAAGACAGACUACUUUAAAUUGCUUGUAUGGUAUUCAGUAACCACUACAUUAUCCACUUUUAUCACAUGUUGAACCAUGUCUGUUAUCAAGUUUCCGUAUGCAAUUAUAACUUGUCUGAGACUAAUGAAUAAGAUUGAAUUGUUUUUAUAAAUUA